GGAUUUUAUACAUAUUUACGCGCUCUAACCCUAACUGUCCCCAAUUAAGCCCGAAACUCGUGCAGUCUCUCUCUCUCUCUCUCUCUCUCUCUCUCACACACACAAGUCAUGAAACGCCGACCGCCGGAGGGCGUUGUGGGAUCAGGACCUUGGCGGGAGAAGAAACCAGCCCAGUUGCUGGAGCUCCGAGGUGAGAUCCGGACUCGUACGUCAUGGUAUGCAUGCUUUUGGUUUUUGUUUUAGGGUUUGUGAGAUGCGGACUGGUAAAUUGAUUAUUUGUAAAUUUGAAUUUGCAGCAUUUCAGUUCCGCUAUCUCAGUUUGUAAUCUGCGUAUGUACAUUCAUGUUUUGAGUUUUGAGGAAACAUAUUAACCAAACUGCUGUUGGUUUUCGUUGCUACAUUUGCAAGAAUUACCAUUUAAUUAAUUUCACACCUGAAUAAUUUUUUGAGUUGAUAUUUAAAAUUCCCUUUUAAUUUAUAUUCAAAUAUGUAUGUUUUUUGUGUUGGUUUAUGUAUAUGUAGCAGCUAGAAAAUGAAGAACAAGAAAUAAAGAUUGAUAUCGAGUAAGUAAUUUAUGUGUAUAUUUCGAUCCACCAAACAAACAGAUGAGAAGAAAGAAGAAAAAGAGAAGAAAAGGCUGGUGAGGACUCUCUGUCUCAACCAAACACUUUAACUUCAAAGAAGAAGAAUGAGAAGAAAGAAGAAAACGCCGUUUGAAGACUCUCUGAGUCGAUCCCGACUUGAAGAAGAAGAAGAAGAAGAAGAAGAAAAAGAAAAAACAAGGGCUGUUAAAGACUCUCUGAGUCAAUUGUGAGAGACAUUCAUUGUUUCCGUCCUUUUAUAAGUUAUCCCUGCUCCUCUGGAGAUAACUGAUAAUAUUAAGGCUUGAUGCAUGAAUGAUGUUGUGCAACUUAUUCUUGUACCCAUCGCCAUAGUCAUCAAGCAGUUUAAUUAACGUAAAUGGGGACUGGACGAUUAGCGUUUCACCACCAAACGAUGCUCGAGUCAGCCACGGAGUUUGUUGAUUGCUGUUUAUCUCGUAACCAGAGCCAUAGAACAGAACGUAUGAGCUAAUCGACGACUAAACAAUUUCCAUGAUGAACUUCUAUUUGUUUUAUGCACAUGAAUGACUAAACGAUCUCCAAAUUGAUUGAUUUUUUCAAGUAUGAUCUCCAAAUUAAGAGAAUGUAGGUACAAUUUCGAUUAUGAUAUUUGGUCGGUAAAAAUUCGUUAAUAUUAAGUAAGGGGAAUUGUCCCACAUAAAAAGAACACAAGCAUUAUUCUUGCUUACAUAUUUUUACUUGACCAAAAAAAAUAAAUAAAUAAAGGUUGGGUGGUAACACAAACGUAGCUUUCUUCCCUCAACGAUUCCGUAUUUUGUAUGCUUGCAAUCGUUCGUAUAUUAUACAACAACAACAAUAAAGCCUUUUCCCACUAAGUGGGGUCGGCUAUAUGAAUCAUAGAACGUCAUUGUGCUCGGUUUUGUGUCAUGUCCUCCGUUAGAUCCAAGUACUCUAAGUCUUUUCUUAGGGUCUCUUCCAAAGUUU
rnacentral:lncRNA from 1 species